rnacentral:rRNA from 1 species
GGACUACAAGGGUAUCUAAUCCUGUUUGCUCCCCAUGCUUUCGCGCCUCAGCGUCUGUAUCAGCCCAGUAAACCGUCUUCACCACCGGUGUUCUUCCACAUAUCUACGCAUUUCACCGCUACACGUGGAAUUCCGUUUACCCUAACUGAACUCUAGUUUAGGAGUUUCAAAUGCAGCUCCGGGGUUGAGCCCCGGAAUUUCACAUCUGACUUUCUAAACCGCCUACGCGCCCUUUACGCCCAGUAAUUCCGAUCAAUGCUUGCACCCUCCGUAUUACCGCGGCUGCUGGCAC